rnacentral:lncRNA from 1 species
UCCCAAGUCCGAGCCUUGGGUCGGGUGAAGAGAGUACUACAGGUAGGAUGGAUCGAAGAUUCAGAGAUUUGAUUCUUUUCAAUUGAGACGUGCAUGCGACUUUCGAUGGAUGUGAGGGGCAACCACGAUCGAUUUUAUGAGCGACAUUUCAGAAAGCAGCACCGUACCAGAGACUGCAGAUUUAUAUACAGCAUCUAGUCG